rnacentral:rRNA from 1 species
AAUGAACGUUGGCGGCGUGGAUUAGGCAUGCAAGUCGUGCGAUAACCCCGCAAGGGGGGAAAGCGGCGAAAGGGAGAGUAACGCGUGGGUACCUGCCCCUUGGUCCGGAAUAGCUGCGGGAAACUGCAGGUGAUGCCGGAUAAUAUCCUCGGAUCAAAGGUGUGAUUCCGCCGAGGGAGGGGCCCGCGUUCUAUUAGCUAGUUGGUAGGGUAAUGGCCUACCAAGGCGACGAUGGAUACCGGGUGUGAGAGCAUGACCCGGCUCACUGGGACUGAGACACUGCCCAGACGCCUACGGGUGGCUGCAGUCGAGAAUCGUCGGCAAUGGGCGCAAGCCUGACCGAGCGACGCCGCGUGCGGGAUGAAGGCCUUCGGGUUGUAAACCGCUGUCGUAGAGGAGGAAAUGCCAUGGGGUUCUCUCCAUGGUUUGACCUAUUCUAGGAGGAAGGACGGGCUAAGUUCGUGCCAGCCGCCGCGGUAA